rnacentral:rRNA from 1 species
CCUACGGGAGGCAGCAGUGAGGAAUAUUGGUCAAUGGACGCAAGUCUGAACCAGCCAUGCCGCGUGCAGGAAGACGGCCCUAUGAGUUGUAAACUGCUUUUGUACGAGGGUAAACGCAGCUACGUGUAUCUGUUUGAAUGUAUCGUACGAAUAAGGAUCGGCUAACUCCGUGCCAGCAGCCGCGGUAAUACGGAGGAUCCAAGCGUUAUCCGGAUUUAUUGGGUUUAAAGGGUGCGUAGGGGGUUUGAUAAGUUAGAGGUGAAAUCUCGGGGCUCAACUUCGAAAUUGCAGUUGAUACUGGCAGGCUAGAGUGUAGUUGCGGUGGGCGGAAUGUAUGGUGUAGCGGUGAAAUGCUUAGAGAUCAUGCAGAACACCGAUUGCGAAGGCAGCUUACCGAACUAAAACUGACGUUGAGGCACGAAAGCGUGGGGAGCAAACAGGAUUAGAUACCCCAGUAGUC